AUCGAAUUUAGGUAAGAAAAAUUCACAAUGUUUAAUUGAACAGAAAACAGUUUUUGGGGCCUGGAUUAUUAUUAGAGUUCUACAUAGAAAAACAAGAAACAUACACAUGAAACUAUAAUUUAUUCAUGGUAAAAUUGGCAAAGGUAGAGGUAGCAAAGCCUUUUUUACUUUCCAUUUACAUAUCAGAAGUCGAAACUACAGCACUAGAGCUCCACUACGCGAUAACGCUUCACUAGUAAACAUACUUUUGGCCUUAGCUAACCUAUUUGUUCAAUGGAUAAGAUUCAGAGCAAUUUGAACAGCAGGCCACCAUGAGCAGCAAAGAAUGGAGCAAACACCAAUGACUCCACUGCCAUAAGCUUGAUCAAGAUAUUAAGUGAAGGACCAGAAGUGUCCUUGAGGGGGUCACCAAUUGUGUCACCAAUGACAGCAGCUUUGUGAGGGUCUGAUCCCUUAGGGCCCAGUGAUUUAGCAUGCUCAGAAGCACCAGCCUCAAUGUAUUUCUUGGCGUUGUCCCAUGCCCCUCCAGUGUUGGAAGCUGAGAUGGCGACCUGGACACCAGAGACAAGUGAACCAGCAAGAACACCAGCGAGAGUUUCAACUCCAAAGAAGGUUCCAGCAAUGAGUGGUGUAAGCAUAACCAAAGCACCAGGUGGGAUCAUCUCCCUGAGUGAGGCAUCAGUUGAAAUUUUGACACAAUUGGUAUAGUCUGGUUUAGCUCUACCUUCCAUAAGUCCGGGAAUAGUAUUGAAUUGUCGACGGACCUCCUCAACCAUUUUUAGAGCUGCACUUCCCACACUUUUCAUUGUCAUGGCAGAGAACCAGUAUGGAAGCAUGGCGCCGACAAUCAGGCCAAUGAAGACCUUUGGGGUUAAAACAUCAACAGCUUUGAUGCCUGCUCUGCUGACAAAGGCACCAAAUAAAGCAAGGGAAACCAGAGCAGCUGAUCCAAUAGCAAAACCCUUGCCAAUUGCAGCAGUGGUAUUUCCAGCAGCAUCUAAAGCAUCUGUUCUUUCACGUAUCUUGUGACUCAUUCCAGCCAUUUCAGCAAUACCUCCAGCAUUGUCACUUAUGGGUCCAUAAGCAUCAAUUGCUAGACCAGUAGAAAUUGUACUAAGCAUUCCUAAAGCAGCCAUGGCAAUACCAUACAUGGCAGCCAUGCUAAAGCUAACAUAGAUAGCAAUUGCAAUGGAAAAUAUAGGAAUUAUGACAGAUUUGUAUCCCAGAGCUAAUCCAAAUAUCACAUUUGUUGCAGCACCAGUCCUGCAAGAAUCUGCUACAUCCUGCACUGGACUGCAUAACUUGAACAGGAUAAUUAAUAACAAAAUUAACCCAAUACAUCUUUUAGAGAUUAUGGACCUUUGUAGAUAUUAAAAUCAUGUUGUGAUAGUGUACAAGACCAAAAGAAUAUUAUUUCUUAGGUUCAUGACGAAGAAAGUCACCUGUAAGCAUUGCUAGUAUAGUACUCGGUUGUAAAUCCAAUAACAAGUCCGGCCCACAAGCCAAUAGAGACACAAAAGAAAAGGUGCCUGCAGUAACAUGUAAUUUAUUCAACAUGAUGUAAUCCUAUAAAAGGAGGCAGGGUUUGGGUGGGUAGCAUACCAGUUCUUUACAAGCUUGUCAGUCCCGAAAUCAUAGAGGGUGAAUUCUGAUGGUAAAGCUAAGAAGCUGACCAUGGCAAUCCCAGCAGUCAUCAGAAUGGUUGAGAUAACAAGUUGUCUCUUCAAUGAUGGUUCAAUUUCACUUACAUUCUUAAUCUCAAACAGAUCAGUUGCAAAAAGUGUAGUUAUCAGGCAAACUACUAUUCCCAUUGCACUUAUAAUCAAUGGAUAAGACAUGGCUGUGUAGUCAUGGACGACACCAAAUUGUGAAAUUGACGCAACGAAAAGUGCUGCACAAGAUGAUUCAGCAUAAGACCCAAAUAGAUCAGAACCCAUCCCAGCAAUGUCUCCGACAUUGUCACCCACAUUAUCAGCAAUAACAGCUGGAUUUCUUGGAUCAUCUUCAGGGAUAUUUCUUUCAACUUUACCAACAAGGUCAGCACCAACAUCAGCUGCUUUUGUGUAU
rnacentral:misc_RNA from 1 species